CUUUUGUGUAAGUGUGGAGUUUGAUGGUUAUCCUGUUGUGGUCUCAUCUUUCCUGCAUUUCUCCAACCUGGUGGCCAUCAUGGUCAUGGUCUGCGACUUUGUUAUGUGGGCUGCUGCUGGCGUGUUGAUGUUGAGCAUCAGCUACAACUCCAAAACCCAUGGACUUUGCAAUGCAAUGACUUAUUCAGCCGGAGCAGUAUGCCAAAGAUGCCUAUCUUGAUGUUUAGUUGCGAUUUUGCUUUGAGACGCCAACACACUGACCGAAGGAUCUCGAUGGUGCCGAGUGUAGUCGAGGACGCGAAGUUGCAGUUCUGGACAUGGUAUCCGUAGUUUACCAAGAUGUACAUUCUUACCACCAUACAGAUUCUUGCACUAGUAAAUAGUACAUUUGCUCGCUGAGACGAUUUCUGUACAUUAUUUCUUCUUCUUCUUCAUGAAUGUAAUUUUUUAAUGAACAUGACAACUUCAUUCUUUGUUGGAUAAAAUUGUACUACCAUAAUGCAUGCGAUUCUUCUCAA